GACGUAGGGCGCGAGCGUUGUCCGGAUUUAUUGGGCGUAAAGAGCUCGUAGGCGGCUUGUCGCGUCGGCUGUGAAAACCCGCGGCUCAACUGUGGGCGGGCAGCUGAUACGGGCAGGCUGGGGUUCGGUAGGGGAGACUGGAAUUCCUGGUGUAGCGGUGAAAUGCGCAGAUAUCAGGAGGAACACCGGUGGCGAAGGCGGGUCUCUGGGCCGAUACUGACGCUGAGGAGCGAAAGCGUGGGGAGCGAACAGG
rnacentral:rRNA from 1 species